GAUACGCCCCUUGGAUGCCUGCAGAGAAGCUCUGGGGCUUCAGUCAAUGACUCAGGGUAGCCACCGAACAUGAUGCUCGGGCAGUGGGUGCCACCUGGACUCCACUCUCCCCUCUCUCUGGGAUCAUAGAGUCCAAGGUGUUCUGUGGCCUCUCGGCCAAUCCCAGCAGCUCAGCGUGCAGAAGACCGAGGAGCCAUUGGAAUUCAACACAACACGAAAUAAUCAACAAAUUCGGGGAAUGUUAAUCUGACCAUCACCAGUUACAAAUGAUGUUUCAUGCUACCUUCUAUUCCUGCCUUCAUAAAUCAAGGAAAAGAAAAAGAGAACAUAUAUCCCCCUACCUUUUGAUUUCCAACAGUCUACUGAGAGGCCAAGAUUAUUUGCAGGGAAAGAAAAGGGGUCAAAAUGUUUUGCCAGUAACUCCCAAAUCAUCUACAGCCAAGGAGAAAAGUGUUUCAAGACAGAGGUGCUCAAUGGUAUCAAAUACUGCCAACAGACCAAGUAAUACAUGCAUUGAAGUGUCUACUGGAUCUAGCUAUAUGAUUCCACAGCUGUUUUAUAGUAACUCAGAGUUUGAAGAGAAAUUACUCCUGCAGUACCAGUUUCCAAAAUGCUUUGUAGCAUCUUCUCAAAAAACAAAUGGGAAGAAGCCAAUCAGAAAUAAGGAAUUUUUAAUUUAGGACACUUAGGCCAUACUGAAGCAAGGUGACAAAAUGAAUAGCUACAAUGUCUCGUGAAUCUUGGGUUUCCAUUCACCCUGGUAUUCAAGAGAAAUUCUUGCAUCAUGGAAGUUGCAGUUGGAUAGGACUUUCUCAGCUGAACACUGUCAUCUGCCAGAGCUUCAGGCAAGAACCCAGAACAGAUGAAACCCCAGACAUGACAAAAUAAGCCAAAGAAUACCAGGCCAAGGUGUGAAAGGCCAGAUGAGAACAAGCAGCGUACACGAUUCUGUUGCCAACAGAUCUCCCCUAACAGUGUCGUGCACCAAAUUUCCACAGUGAAUGUCAGGAAAAAAUGGCAAUUGAGGUGGGUGGUCAAAAGAGAAGCACAGUCUAUGAUGAAGUCACCCCAGAGAAGUCCUUUUUCCGUUUUCUCCUGAGAAAUUACCAGAAGAAAUUAAAAUCCUUUUGAGUAUUGCAUUUAUCUCUGCAGUAACAUUAUUUUUUCUUAAGGAAUCUCUAUCAAAUUUGCAUCUUGUCUAAUUUAGCAGGGAAUGUCACCAGGAUAAGACAACUGCAAAACCCAUUUGGGUGUGCCAAAUGACUUCAACCGAACCUCCAUGCAAACAACAUACAAGAUGCUUUCUUACUAAAUGCUCAAACAUCAAGUUCUACAUCCAGAACUGCCCCUCAACCCUCACCCUCUCGAACUCAGUAAAAAACAACCCUCUUUCUAGCUCUGCAUUUCCAAUGAAUGCCUCUUCCUCCAGACAUCCCUAGUUUUUGUUCAUGAUACUAGGACAUUCCUAAACUGGAAAUGUGAGAAUCAUGUGGACUGCUCGCUCCCUCCUUCAUUGCCUGAGUUUAAGCAAAUAAUAUUGAUUAGUUUUCCCCAA
ensembl:lncRNA LINC00710 long intergenic non-protein coding RNA 710